GAAUGGGCGGUGGGAUUUUUUGUUAGAUAAUAAGCGCCACCGCUUCAGAGAUCAGAAGUGAAGAAUGACGACGAAGAGUAGGUGACGGGGCAGGGGUUUGAACGCCGUGGGGUCGGAGGUUGAUGAAGGGUAAUUUUAUCCCAAUGUCGACGGAGUCGGGGGUGUGGUCGGCUGACCCCACGCGACCCCACCUCCAUCUGCCGCUGUUCCAAAUUGUGGUUUGUUGUCAAUACUUGGAGAACUGGAGACAAUUAGAUUAUUGUGACCAAGGGAUCCCCUGAGGAGUCAAAAGAAGCUCUUGCUAUUGCUGAAACUGAUGCAAGACUUUUCUGCACAGUUGGUGUACGCCCAACGAGAUGUAAAGAAUUUGAUGGUAGUGGUGAUCCAAAGAGACAAUUUGAGGCUCUUUUGUCGUUGGCCAGAGAGGGAGUUGAUAAGGGAACAGUGGUGAAAAUUGUAGAAUGUGGAUUGGAUUAUGAUAGGCUUCACUUUUUCCCCGUCGAAGUUCAACGAAAGUCCCUAGGGAAGCAAUUUGAAUUGGCAUACGCUAUGAAGUUACCAAUGUUUCUCCACGCCCGAGCAGCCGCUGAGGAUUUCUGCAAUAUUCUUGUGCGAAACAAACAUAGGUUAUUCUAUGGGAUUCGCAUAUUUGAUCCAGGAGCUUUUGUGUCGGAUGUUAUUGAAGCUCUUAGUGGAGACGCUAAUUGGAGCUUAUGAGACUUCGGCGACAACUUGGGUGUGGAACUGACAAUGGUCAUGAACUCAAAUAUCUGGAUAUGUUGAUGACAGGCAGCCGAAUUGAAACUUGAUGGGCCUGCUUUGAUUUUGAGGCCGAACCCAAUUUUUGUUUUUAAUUUUGCAUGCCAUCCACAAUUGUAAUUUGACAGUAAAACAUAUCUAGAUGUCCUUAUAUUAAUAUAUUUUAGUUUA